AGAACGAACGCUGGCGGCAUGCCUAAUACAUGCAAGUCGAACGAACUCUUCGGAGUUAGUGGCGCACGGGCGCGUAACGCGUGGGAAUCUGCCCCUUGGUUCGGAAUAACAGUUGGAAACGACUGCUAAUACCGGAUGAUGACGAAAGUCCAAAGAUUUAUCGCCAAGGGAUGAGCCCGCGUAGGAUUAGCUAGUUGGUGAGGUAAAGGCUCACCAAGGCAACGAUCCUUAGCUGGUCUGAGAGGAUGAUCAGCCACACUGGGACUGAGACACGGCCCAGACUCCUACGGGAGCAGCAGUAGGGAAUAUGGACAAGUGGGACGAAAGCCUGAUCCAGCAAUGCCGCGUGAGUGAUGAAGGUCCGUUAGGUUAGUAAAGUCUUCUUUACCCGAGUAUGAUAAUGAACUAGUAGUACGGAAG
rnacentral:rRNA from 1 species